AGCCCGCUUCUCAUCCACAGGAUGGCAGACUGAACAUGGCUUCUCAGGGCAUCAGAUCAGUGGGGGAGACUGCUCUAGGGCCCUCUGUGCCUGUACUCAGAAUUCCUGUGGUCUUCUAUGUCACCAAGUAAGUCCCCAAACAAGCCAAAGGACAACAGAGAAAGUGAGUACCCCAAAAUUCAGGAAUAGAACUGCUGGGAAAAAAGUGAAUGAGUGCUUUCACCAGAGGCCUCCAGGAAGGCUCAGCUCCAGGAGACAAAACCCAGGCAAACAAUCAGCUUAAAGGAAGCUUCCCUUGAGGCCUGGGGAGAGAUGCGUGGGGCUGAGAAAACUUUUCCAGGCUGUGGGAAGAGCUGCUGUGGACUCUGAACUUAUCCUUGCUCCUUCCUGAACACCAUUUCGAGAACAUCUCUGGUGCGGAUGUUAACCAGACGAACCGUACAAGCCAUGCACCUCCAAGUGGAGGUUCCUCUGGCUGUUCUGAAACUUCGGGGAACAGAAUGACUUUUUCAGGACUCUGGCUUUUCAGGUGAGACAGUUCCUGAUGAUGCUUUUUGGAGUAAGGGCUGAACAGGCACCAGGUACUGGUUUCUCAUGUGCUCCUUGUUAGUCACACCUCACCCUGUGUAGAGUACAAACACUCCCAAGUCAUGAACAACAGCAUCCCACAAGGAUGCAGGAGAACACAAUCCCGUUUGGUUUUUCAAACAAACUCAUUCAUUGGUGGGUACAGAAUUGCAGACUCCCUGAUACUCGUGUGCACACCCCAAGAUGAGGUC
rnacentral:lncRNA from 1 species